GGCAAUGGAUCGACGAUUCCCGUCCCUGUGGCUGGGACGAUGGCCGACUCAGACUCAGGGUCCCCCACCACCCUGAGAUUCUACCUGCCUCCGCCGGGGCUCCUCCUUACCUGAUCCCCACACUUUCACCCGGUGAUCUAUGUCACGGGGCGGAGGCACCGGGGCAGUAGGUAAGCAGCAGCAGGCGGCGCUGCUUGGUCGAUGAGGUGGAGGUGGCGGGGAAUAGCGGCCGACUGCGGGGUUGGCCGGGUGCGUCGACCUGCGGCUGUGGCUGGAGCGGAGGGGAGUACAAGCGCCGGAGGAGAGCAGCGGGGUAGGAGCGAAGCCGCCAAGGAGGAGGCGGCGGCGGAAGGCGCGCUGCGUCCGGCAUCCGGGCGAGCUCCACAUCCAGCGCACGCCCGCGCAUCUGCUCGCUCGGCACCAUCUCGAGUGUCUAUCCACCAGACCCAGACGCAAUCAAGCGCGGCAACCCUAGCUUAUGCCCCUAGCGAUUGCAGCAACUCCGGCGGGAAGCAAUCAAGCGGAUUAGGAGAGCAGCAGCUAGCUGAGCAGGAGGGCGUCCAGGAGAGCAACGGACAGCCGCGACCGGAUGGCAGGGCAACGGCGUGAACGGCCAGGUUGGAACUAAUUAUUAUCUGAAGGACAACUGCAGUUACUCAAUGAGAUGCUGACUGGAAUCUCCAAGCAACAUAUUUCUUUUCAGUUGUUGUUCUCCUAGCUGGAAUCUCUAGAGAUUGUGACUGGAAUCUAAAAUUUCUGUCCUAUUUUGUAAAAGCCAGAUUGGACGGCCCAGUUUAUCCACACAAAUAAGUACUGGUGUCUCUGAAGUUCUUUCUGGUAGCAACGCUAUGACUGUAGGCUGAUCAGUCCUUCAUCUUUAUAGCUAGCUCUGAAACGCAGAUAAGGUCAGUGAUAUGUAAGGAAGCCUUUUGUAAUCAUACAUUUUAUAAAUGAUGUGAUGUGUAAUCAGUCUGUAGUGUUUGAUAAUCCACUGCUUAAAGAUUAUGGUUGCUGCAACCUACAGUUCUUUGUAUGAUUAUUCAUAUCCUCUGCAUUUUCACUAUGUGUAAACUGCGUACCCAGUUGUUCAGUGAUGUUUCAUGUUCUUCCAUUUUCAGGGUCUAUCCUGUGCAGUCGGUAUCGGAUGAACCAGUUCAUCCUUACACGACGCCGCAUCUCCAAAGAGCCUUCCAGCUGCCGACUUGGUGGUCAGCUUGACGAGAAAACUGUCCAACCACUUCCUGAUAUUGAUUACUUCAUGAUUGAGGUGCUCAGGGCCAGUCGAGAUUUCUUCUGGAGCUUACUUCUUUGUUCUCCAGAGUAUGGGCGAAAUUAUCCAAGAUGCAUCAGAAAAAACUAUUUCUUUGUUCUUGGACAGUCAUGUAUAAAGGUUGCACCCAAUUUUGUUUCUCCAGAAAAUUUACAAGAAUGCAGGCUGACGGAAGAAUUUCUUCCCCUUCCAAAAUGUCAUCGGGUGAAUAAAAAUAAGCUAGAGCUUGGUGUCUGUCGUGAUGCUUCUGGUUUUGAAGUGUAGGUGCAACAAAGAUGAUCUUACCAUCUUUCAUAUCAGUAAUGGUUUUGUUGCUUUAGUAUCAUAUAUAGAACUGCAGUUGCUAAACUUUCACGUCGUUUUUUUUAUAAGAGCUACUAAACUUGCCUCUUAUUUUUUAUGAGGUGCUGAAUUCUUUCUUGGUUGGGAUUGACACCCAGCACUAGCCAGAAAGUUUCGGUGGGACCAUAUUCUCAAUAAGGGCGGCUUCGGAUUAUCUGAACGGCGUCGACAGAAGACUUACACUACCUUCCCGAUGCUGGAAAUGUAGCUUUGUUUCAAUUGCUUUGGGUAGAGCUUGCUACAGUUCUAGCCCUCCCUGUGCCAAGCAAAGAACUCAUCAUCAUCAUCAUUUCGUCUGCUGAUGAAUAUAACAAUGCCAACCACUGACAGUUUGAAGACUGGGGAACACCGAGACCACCUGGCUUAGCAUGCUAAAAAUUUAUAUUCGUGCUAAUUACUUCAAGUAUAUAGUUCCGGUGGCACUGCUUAGGCAAGUCAAUCCUAUCAGGUAUGUAAUGAGAAAGAAUGUAUGUAUGAUAUAGUUCAGAUGGUUCUGUUUAGUCAAGUCAAUCCUAUCACCUAGGUUACGAGAAAGAAUGUAUGUAUGUUAGUGUCUCUAGCCUAUACUCCCUACGGUGGAUCUAUCUUGCCAACCAUGCACUCAACUAGGAAUAUAUAUUAGUAACACGUUUAGUAUAUCUGAGAUAAGGAUAUCACAUCGAUAAAGCUUCAUGUUACAGCAUAGGCGCGGCGUGAGCAUUUGAAAAGUUGCUAUUUUGAGAUCUACAAUUCUGUUAAUUUUGCAAUGUCCAGAAUAUAGAUUAUCUCUCACUGAUUUUUUGAACACUGAUAGAUUGAAUAAUUGUCUACAUUUAGAAAUUUUUUCAUGUUCUUUUGAUGUUUUAAAUUUUUGAUUUUGAAUUUUCAAA